rnacentral:rRNA from 1 species
CGAACGCUGGCGGCGUGCCUAACACAUGCAAGUCGAACGAGAAAGCUCCCUUCGGGGGGUGAGUACAGUGGCAGACGGGUGAGUAAUACGUGGGUAACCGACCCGGAGGUGUGGAAUAACUCUUCGAAAGGAGGGCUAAUACCGCAUGAUAUCUCGAGCACCUCGGAGUUCGAGAUCAAAGUCAGCCUCUACCUGUAAGCUGGCGCCACCGGAAGGGCCCGCGUCCCAUUAGCUUGUUGGUGAGGUAACGGCUCACCAAGGCCGCGAUGGGUAGCCGGCCUGAGAGGGUGUUCGGCCACACUGGAACUGAGACACGGUCCAGACUCCUACGGGAGGCAGCAGUGAGGAAUUUUGCGCAAUGGGCGAAAGCCUGACGCAGCGACGCCGCGUGGAGGACGAAGGUCUUCGGAUCGUAAACUCCUGUCAAGCGGGACGAACCCUGCGGGGAUGAAUAAGCCCCGCAACUGACGGUACCGCUGGAGGAAGCCCCGGCUAACUCCGUG